rnacentral:rRNA from 1 species
AGAACUUUGAAGAGAGAGUUCAAUAGUACGUGAAACCGUUCAGGGGUAAACCUGAGAAACCCGAAAGGUCGAACGGAGAGAUUCAUUCGCGGACCGCGCGUUCGUCGUAGCCGUCGGCACGACGGGUUGCUCUUCGGGGCAGCCCGCGCCGUCGCGUUCCGAACGUUCGUCGAACGCGUGCACUUCUCUCCUAGUAGGACGUCGCGAUCCGUUGGGUGCCGGCCGAAGGCACGUCGAGGAGCCCGCGUUCACGGCGCAAGUCGUCGUUCGCGGACCGAUCGUCGCCUGGCCGGCCGCUUGACGGUACGCAUACGGCGGGAGGCCGCGAAUUUUCGCGUUCGGCCCGCGGCAAGCGCGCUUUACGCGCCGGCGUUCGGAUCUGAUGCCGAUGCCGGCCUUUAGCGGUUGUUCGCCGCGGAGUUCUCGGACUGACCUCUAAUUAAACGCCGAUCGGCGACGCUACAGCUUUGGGUACUCUCAGGGCCCGUCUUG